rnacentral:misc_RNA from 1 species
UGGGAUAAAAGCUUAGUUGAGUUGGGUUGAGUUGGCAACAUAGAUGAACAAUUGGCUAGAUUCAAUUAGAAGAUGAGGAUUAUGAAACAUAACUCUUCUCAAGCCAUAAUCUAAUCCAUUAGUAGCGAAAAUUAUAGAUAGAAAACAAAACUGAUAAGCAAUUUAACGGUCAAACUUAAACAUACUAGAGACAGUUAGUGAUCAAAUACCUGAUUCGGACAACCUUAAAUCAGGUUCAUAAAUUUAAUUUCAUAAUCAUUGUAUAGAAUACACAUUUCCGAGGGUUUAACCCAAAAUCGUUUAGAGU